rnacentral:pre_miRNA from 1 species
AAUAAGUACAGUUUUACACUAUUUACGUUCAACGUUUGACCGUUCGUCUUAUUUGAAAAUUUUUUAUGAUUAGUAUUUUUAUUGCUAUUAGAUGAUAAAAUAUGAAUAGUAUUUUAUGCGUGACUAAAUAUUUUUAAAUUUUUCAUAAAUUUUUUAAAUAAGACGGACGGUCAAACGUUGGGCACGGAUAUCCACGGCUACACUUAUU